GGUUAAGCGACUAAGCGUACACGGUGGAUGCCCUGGCAGUCAGAGGCGAUGAAGGACGUGCUAAUCUGCGAUAAGCGUCGGUAAGGUGAUAUGAACCGUUAUAACCGGCGAUUUCCGAAUGGGGAAACCCAGUGUGAUUCGUCACACUAUCAUUAACUGAAUCCAUAGGUUAAUGAGGCGAACCGGGGGAACUGAAACAUCUAAGUACCCCGAGGAAAAGAAAUCAACCGAGAUUCCCCCAGUAGCGGCGAGCGAACGGGGAGCAGCCCAGAGCCUGAAUCAGUGUGUGUGUUAGUGGAAGCGUCUGGAAAGGCGUGCGAUACAGGGUGACAGCCCCGUACACAAAAAUGCACAUGCUGUGAGCUCGAUGAGUAGGGCGGGACACGUGGUAUCCUGUCUGAAUAUGGGGGGACCAUCCUCCAAGGCUAAAUACUCCUGACUGACCGAUAGUGAACCAGUACCGUGAGGGAAAGGCGAAAAGAACCCCGGCGAGGGGAGUGAAAAAGAACCUGAAACCGUGUACGUACAAGCAGUGGGAGCACGCUUAGGCGUGUGACUGCGUACCUUUUGUAUAAUGGGUCAGCGACUUAUAUUCUGUAGCAAGGUUAACCGAAUAGGGGAGCCGAAGGGAAACCGAGUCUUAACUGGGCGUUAAGUUGCAGGGUAUAGACCCGAAACCCGGUGAUCUAGCCAUGGGCAGGUUGAAGGUUGGGUAACACUAACUGGAGGACCGAACCGACUAAUGUUGAAAAAUUAGCGGAUGACUUGUGGCUGGGGGUGAAAGGCCAAUCAAACCGGGAGAUAGCUGGUUCUCCCCGAAAGCUAUUUAGGUAGCGCCUCGUGAAUUCAUCUCCGGGGGUAGAGCACUGUUUCGGCAAGGGGGUCAUCCCGACUUACCAACCCGAUGCAAACUGCGAAUACCGGAGAAUGUUAUCACGGGAGACACACGGCGGGUGCUAACGUCCGUCGUGAAGAGGGAAACAACCCAGACCGCCAGCUAAGGUCCCAAAGUCAUGGUUAAGUGGGAAACGAUGUGGGAAGGCCCAGACAGCCAGGAUGUUGGCUUAGAAGCAGCCAUCAUUUAAAGAAAGCGUAAUAGCUCACUGGUCGAGUCGGCCUGCGCGGAAGAUGUAACGGGGCUAAACCAUGCACCGAAGCUGCGGCAGCGACGCUUAUGCGUUGUUGGGUAGGGGAGCGUUCUGUAAGCCUGUGAAGGUGUACUGUGAGGUAUGCUGGAGGUAUCAGAAGUGCGAAUGCUGACAUAAGUAACGAUAAAGCGGGUGAAAAGCCCGCUCGCCGGAAGACCAAGGGUUCCUGUCCAACGUUAAUCGGGGCAGGGUGAGUCGACCCCUAAGGCGAGGCCGAAAGGCGUAGUCGAUGGGAAACAGGUUAAUAUUCCUGUACUUGGUGUUACUGCGAAGGGGGGACGGAGAAGGCUAUGUUGGCCGGGCGACGGUUGUCCCGGUUUAAGCGUGUAGGCUGGUUUUCCAGGCAAAUCCGGAAAAUCAAGGCUGAGGCGUGAUGACGAGGCACUACGGUGCUGAAGCAACAAAUGCCCUGCUUCCAGGAAAAGCCUCUAAGCAUCAGGUAACAUCAAAUCGUACCCCAAACCGACACAGGUGGUCAGGUAGAGAAUACCAAGGCGCUUGAGAGAACUCGGGUGAAGGAACUAGGCAAAAUGGUGCCGUAACUUCGGGAGAAGGCACGCUGAUAUGUAGGUGAAGUCCCUCGCGGAUGGAGCUGAAAUCAGUCGAAGAUACCAGCUGGCUGCAACUGUUUAUUAAAAACACAGCACUGUGCAAACACGAAAGUGGACGUAUACGGUGUGACGCCUGCCCGGUGCCGGAAGGUUAAUUGAUGGGGUUAGCGCAAGCGAAGCUCUUGAUCGAAGCCCCGGUAAACGGCGGCCGUAACUAUAACGGUCCUAAGGUAGCGAAAUUCCUUGUCGGGUAAGUUCCGACCUGCACGAAUGGCGUAAUGAUGGCCAGGCUGUCUCCACCCGAGACUCAGUGAAAUUGAACUCGCUGUGAAGAUGCAGUGUACCCGCGGCAAGACGGAAAGACCCCGUGAACCUUUACUAUAGCUUGACACUGAACAUUGAGCCUUGAUGUGUAGGAUAGGUGGGAGGCUUUGAAGUGUGGACGCCAGUCUGCAUGGAGCCGACCUUGAAAUACCACCCUUUAAUGUUUGAUGUUCUAACGUUGACCCGUAAUCCGGGUUGCGGACAGUGUCUGGUGGGUAGUUUGACUGGGGCGGUCUCCUCCUAAAGAGUAACGGAGGAGCACGAAGGUUGGCUAAUCCUGGUCGGACAUCAGGAGGUUAGUGCAAUGGCAUAAGCCAGCUUGACUGCGAGCGUGACGGCGCGAGCAGGUGCGAAAGCAGGUCAUAGUGAUCCGGUGGUUCUGAAUGGAAGGGCCAUCGCUCAACGGAUAAAAGGUACUCCGGGGAUAACAGGCUGAUACCGCCCAAGAGUUCAUAUCGACGGCGGUGUUUGGCACCUCGAUGUCGGCUCAUCACAUCCUGGGGCUGAAGUAGGUCCCAAGGGUAUGGCUGUUCGCCAUUUAAAGUGGUACGCGAGCUGGGUUUAGAACGUCGUGAGACAGUUCGGUCCCUAUCUGCCGUGGGCGCUGGAGAACUGAGGGGGGCUGCUCCUAGUACGAGAGGACCGGAGUGGACGCAUCACUGGUGUUCGGGUUGUCAUGCCAAUGGCACUGCCCGGUAGCUAAAUGCGGAAGAGAUAAGUGCUGAAAGCAUCUAAGCACGAAACUUGCCCCGAGAUGAGUUCUCCCUGACUCCUUGAGAGUCCUGAAGGAACGUUGAAGACGACGACGUUGAUAGGCCGGGUGUGUAAGCGCAGCGAUGCGUUGAGCUAACCGGUACUAAUGAACCGUGAGGCUUAACCUU
rnacentral:rRNA from 2 species